rnacentral:sRNA from 1 species
GGAAGGCUGCAGCAAAGCCAUCGGCGAUUGUUGCAGAGAGAUCGCGAGGUCCGAAGCCAGCCGCCGCUGGACGGCGGACCCCGCGAGUGGCCCCGGAGCGGCGUCCCAGUAGUCCCUUCGGGCAGCGCCGCUCUGGGGCUUC